UCUGCCUUGAAGAUCGGAGUGCUUGCACUCUGUGAAACAAGAUACAGGCUAGCGGCGGACGGGUGAGUAACACGUGGGUAACCUGCCCAAGAGAUCGGGAUAACACCUGGAAACAGAUGCUAAUACCGGAUAACAACAGAUGAUGCCUAUCAACUGUUUAAAAGAUGGUUCUGCUAUCACUCUUGGAUGAACCUGCGGUGCAUUAGCUAGUUGGUAGGGUAACGGCCUACCAAGGCGAUGAUGCAUAGCCGAGUUGAGAGACUGAUCGGCCACAUUGGGACUGAGACACGGCCCAAACUCCUACGGGAGGCAGCAGUAGGGAAUCUUCCACAAUGGACGCAAGUCUGAUGGAGCAACGCCGCGUGAGUGAAGAAGGGUUUCGGCUCGUAAAGCUCUGUUGUUGGUGAAGAAGGAC
rnacentral:rRNA from 1 species